rnacentral:rRNA from 1 species
GACGAACGCUGGCGGCGUGCCUAACACAUGCAAGUCGAGCGGAGAAACAAAAGAGCAGCUUGCUGCGAUUUGUUUCUUAGCGGCGGACGGGUGAGUAACGCGUGGGUAAUCUGCCUCAAACAGGGGGAUAACACAGGGAAACUUGUGCUAAUACCGCAUAAGACCCCACCAUGGCAUCAUGGAGAGGUCAAAGGAAGAAAUUCCGGUUUGAGAUGAGCCCGCGUCUGAUUAGCUAGUUGGUGAGGUAACGGCUCACCAAGGCGACGAUCAGUAGCCGAACUGAGAGGUUGAUCGGCCACAUUGGGACUGAGACACGGCCCAGACUCCUACGGGAGGCAGCAGUGGGGAAUAUUGCACAAUGGGGGAAACCCUGAUGCAGCGACGCCGCGUGAAGGAAGAAGGCCCUCGGGUUGUAAACUUCUUUGACCAGGGACGAAGAAAGUGACGGUACCUGGAGAACAAGCCACGGCUAACUACGUGCCAGCAGCCGCGGUAAGGAGU